GACGAACGCUGGCGGCGUGCCUAAUACAUGCCAGUAGAACGCUGAAGGAGGAGCUUGCUUCUCUGGAUGAGUUGCGAACGGGUGAGUAACGCGUAGGUAACCUGCCUGGUAGCGGGGGAUAACUAUUGGAAACGAUAGCUAAUACCGCAUAACAGUAGAUAUCGCAUGAUAUCUACUUGAAAGGUGCAAUUGCAUCACUACCAGAUGGACCUGCGUUGUAUUAGCUAGUUGGUGAGGUAACGGCUCACCAAGGCGACGAUACAUAGCCGACCUGAGAGGGUGAUCGGCCACACUGGGACUGAGACACGGCCCAGACUCCUACGGGAGGCAGCAGUAGGGAAUCUUCGGCAAUGGACGGAAGUCUGACCGAGCAACGCCGCGGGAGUGAAGAAGGUUUUCGGAUCGUAAAGCUCGGUUGUAAGAGAAGAACGAGUGUGAGAGUGGAAAGUUCACACUGUGACGGUAUCUUACCAGAAAGGGACGGCUAACUACGUG
rnacentral:rRNA from 1 species